UAAAUAACACAUUCAUAUAAAUGAAAAAUUUCCCCAUUGUACCUUAGUCUAAAAAUCACAAAUUACUCUAACUCUAAAGCAUAAAACUUAGUAUAAUAACUAUGUAUCAAGGGAAGAUGAAGUUUCUAACCUUUAGAACACUUGAAUGAGUGAAAUCCCCAAGAAAUGGUCACAAAUCUGGCAAAACCUCCCCCUAUUUCGCCAUGAAUAAGGUGAAGCUCGAGCUAGAGGAUCUGGCUCGGGUUAGAGGAAGAAGGAGGAUAUUUAUAGAAAGAAAAUUAGUAUCGGUUAGGGCAACAAUCGGUACUAAAGGGGUGCCCUCUAGUAUCGGUUGUUGCCCCAAUCGGUACUAGAGGGUGGAUGGCGCAUUAGUACCGGUUGGGGGCACCAAUCGGUACUAAUGUACACCCUUUAGUACCGGUUGUUGCCCCGAACCGGUACUAAAAGGGUUCACGGGACAUGCUCCAAGCACUAUCCGUUGGACCCGGUACUAAUGCUAACGUUAGUACUGGGUCCAAACCUAACCGGUACAAAGUCUCGGGAUGUGAGGUCAUAUUUCUAGUAGUGGGAGAUCGCACGGUUAGAGUGAAAAGGAAAGAAAUGGAGAAGGAAGGGAGAUGGGAGAAUUUCCUUUUGUAAAGGGGAGAGGGAGGGGAAGAAAGGGGGAUUGAGAAAAAAUAAAGAGGAAAGGGGAAUGCAAACGGG
rnacentral:lncRNA from 1 species